rnacentral:rRNA from 1 species
CAGCAGCAGCCGCGGUAAUACGAGGGGGGCAAGCGUUGUUCGGAUUUAUUGGGCGUAAAGGGUGCGUAGGCGGUUUGAUAAGUCUUGUGUGAAAUCUCUGGGCUCAACCCAGAGCCUGCACGAGAAACUGUCGGGCUUGAGUAUUGGAGAGGUGAGUGGAAUUUCCGGUGUAGCGGUGAAAUGCGUAGAUAUCGGAAGGAACACCUGUGGCGAAAGCGGCUCACUGGACAAUAACUGACGCUGAUGCACGAAAGCUAGGGGAGCAAACAGGAUUAGAUACCCCAGUAGUCCCUGUCUCUUAUAC